rnacentral:rRNA from 1 species
GACAGAGGUGCCGAGCGUUAGGCGGAAUCACUGGGCUUAAAGCGUGUGUAGGCGGACUUCUAAGUGCCUUGUGAAAUCCCACGGCUCAACCGUGGAACUGCUGGGCAUACUGGGAGCCUUGAGCCAGCUAGGGGCUACCGGAACAAAUGGUGGAGCGGUGAAAUGCGUAGAUAUCAUUUGGAACGCCAAUGGUGAAAACAGGUAGCUGGGGCUGUGCUGACGCUGAGACACGAAAGCCAGGGGAGCGAACAGG